AAAAAUUUANUUAAGUUAUAACAUUAGUUUGUCAUACNAAAA
rnacentral:tRNA from 1 species